rnacentral:lncRNA from 1 species
CGCUGCCCGGGGACACAUUAGUGUGGCGCACCCGCAUCCCUCUUCCUGUUUGCAUGCGUAGAAACGCAGUGCGGCCCCUGGGAGGAGCUGGAGCACCUUGUUGCUCAUCUCAUCUGUUGUCACCAUAUGAGGAGGAGGGUGUGACCCCUUUAGCCUGAACUACUCCGAUAAAAUGAGCCAGCUGUACAAAUGGGUAACGGCUAUGGCAUGACCCCAAGCACACCAUGUGCUGCUGCAGUGGCCCUGGAACCACUGAAAUUUGGACAAAUUGUGGACAACACUGCCGCCACGUGGAUCCCUUCGGCACUACAGCCACUGCAGUUCCACGCGUGUCGUGACAUGCAAAUGCCGCUCUGGAUGUUGAGCGCCUCGCCGUCCUCCAGCAGCCUGGUGUCCCGCGGCCCCCCGGCCUGCUGUCCAUCCAGCUUCUCAACUGUGCUGUUCUUCAGGGGAGGGAGUCCAUCAUGAGCCCUUCCGCUCAGAACUUCACCACAGAUCUCGCACCUACAGGUAAGGCACAGUACCGCGGUACACGGGUCUUUCGGUGGGCUGCCUUCACUUCUGCUCCCAAAGUCCCACUUGGGUGCAUUUCCAAGGCUGGCAGCACAGCACUUGUUUAUAUGUUUAAUAUAUUUAGUAGAGGAGACUAAACACAGCUUCAUUCAUUCAUUCAUUCAUUCAUUCAUUCAUGACUGGCUUCAGGACAGCAGUGUGAAAUAAACUGUGAGAUUCAGAGGGAAAGUGUACA